rnacentral:rRNA from 1 species
UACGUAGGCAGCGAGCGUUGUUCGGAGUUACUGGGCGUAAAGAGUGCGUAGGCGGUUUUCUAAGUUUGGUGUGAAAUCUCCCGGCUUAACUGGGAGGGUGCGCCGAAGACUGGAAGGCUUGAGUAUGGGAGAGGUAAGCGGAAUUCCUGGUGUAGCGGUGAAAUGCGUAGAUAUCAGGAGGAACACCGGUGGCGAAGGCGGUUCUCUGGGCAUGAUCUGACGCUGAGGAGCGAAAGUGUGGGGAGCGAACAGG